rnacentral:misc_RNA from 1 species
GUAGUAGCCGGCUUGCUGGCGAUGCCGUCGGAACAGUCGUCAUCAAUGUUGCCUGACAAACCGCUAUCGCCAGCAAGCCGGCUCCUAC